GCUGUGAUGGCCGAGUGGUUAAGGCGGUGGAUUUGAAAUCCAAUGGGGUUUCCCCGCGCAGGUUCGAACCCUGCUCUCAGCG
rnacentral:tRNA from 1 species